CACAGGCUGUAAUAAAUGAAUUUGACUGGCAUAAUGCCAAUAUUAGGUUGUUGACUACAGCUUCUUUCUAUAUAUUGAGUAUUUGUAGAGUAAGAUGAGCAAAGUACAGUAUGUGUGGGAGGAGCUCAAUGUUUUGUCGACUCCUACUGAAUAAAUUAGAGAAAACAAUGUCUUACCUUCAUACUGAUGAUACUCUGAACUCAAACUACAGAAUCAUGUUUCUCAUCUCUUCUGUUUUAAUAUUUAUCCUCAGUUACUGUGAGGCCAAUGGGAAUGUCAUCAGACCAAACCAACCAUCUGAAGUUUUAACUGAAGGAAGCAGCAUCACUCUCUCCUGUACAUAUGAUGUAUCAGCUUACAGUCUCCACUGGUACCGGCAGAUGCCUGGAUCAAGACUAGAGUUUCUGCUGCUGAUUGUGAAGUCUACUAAAACUGAAGUUCCAGCUUCUCCACCUCUCCCGCAUAUGUCCAUCAAACUCCAUAAUGAUAACCGUGUGGAUCUGGAGAUCUCCUCUGCUGCUGUAUCUGACUCUGCAGUGUAUUACUGUGCUCUGCAGCCCACAGUGACAGGAAAAUCAUCUACACUGUACAAAAACAGGUUUCUUGUAUAGUCAUUUUUUUUAAGAGGGAGGAGCUUCUUCCCAUGUAGUGUCUCAGUCUUUUCCC